GUGCAGGGAGGGAGACCCGGGCUGGACGGUUGGGAAGGAAGGUCGUGGACAACAAAAUAAUGAACAAAAAUAUGUUUCACGCAUGAGAAGCUGUCCGAGAUGGCAGUGAGGGAGAGGUCAUGGCAAACGGUGUUUAUGGCAUGGAAAAGUGAAGAUUCAAAAAAAAACCCAAGGAGAGGCCAAGAUAGUGUGGAAAAUAUCCACCCCCUCCCAGAGACAGCUCAUUAGGAAGGUUUUGCAGGGAGACUCGCAGGAGGUCAGGGGCUGCUGUGUUAUCUUUGGAGGAAAGGCCAUCCCUUCUCUUCCCCUCCGCAGACGUAUCCAGUGAGACAACUCUCUCCCCAGCAAGCUUUUCUCAGGGAGCAGGCAGUUUCUUGAAAAAAUGAACCAGAUGAGGAUCCACCCACCUCCAGAAACAAAGACUGUGGCUGUCUCCAAGAAUGAAGCACCAGUCUCUUAGUUGGUAUUCCCAGGAGACCAAGGAGUAGGUAUUACAGAUAUAAUCAGGGAAAAGAAGCUAUUUUAAAAAAUCGGUCAUUGGGCAGGAUGUUCCAAAGGGCAGAUGAAUGUAACUUCCAAGAUGAAAUAACCGGAUGUCUGUCAACUCAGAAAACAAGUUAAAUGCCUUCUCUUCCAUGAAGACUUCCUUGAUCACUCCUGUCUUUACAGAUGAAUGGCUAACUGGAAUACCAACAAAAUAAACAGACUUUAGUCCUGCCAUCCGCCCUGGCCCAUGCAGCCUGGCAUUGUUUAGGGGAUCAUACCUGGCUUCCCACCCAGGCCACAUG
rnacentral:lncRNA from 1 species